AGUCCUAUAGUUGAACAACAACAUUAAAUUGCAAACUUAAAAGUGUACUUAAUACUAAGACUU
rnacentral:tRNA from 1 species